AUUGAACGCUGGCGGCAGGCCUAACACAUGCAAGUCGAGCGGAUGAAGGGAGCUUGCUCCCUGAUUUAGCGGCGGACGGGUGAGUAAUGCCUAGGAAUCUGCCUGGUAGUGGGGGAUAACGUUCCGAAAGGAACGCUAAUACCGCAUACGUCCUACGGGAGAAAGCAGGGGACCUUCGGGCCUUGCGCUAUCAGAUGAGCCUAGGUCGGAUUAGCUAGUUGGUGAGGUAAUGGCUCACCAAGGCGACGAUCCGUAACUGGUCUGAGAGGAUGAUCAGUCACACUGGAACUGAGACACGGUCCAGACUCCUACGGGAGGCAGCAGUGGGGAAUAUUGGACAAUGGGCGAAAGCCUGAUCCAGCCAUGCCGCGUGUGUGAAGAAGGUCUUCGGAUUGUAAAGCACUUUAAGUUGGGAGGAAGGGCAGUAAGCUAAUACCUUGCUGUUUUGACGUUACCGACAGAAUAAGCACCGGCUAACUUCGUGCCAGCCGCCGCUGUAA
rnacentral:rRNA from 1 species